rnacentral:rRNA from 1 species
CCUACGGGUGGCAGCAGUGGGGGAUAUUGCACAAUGGGGGGAACCCUGAUGCAGCGACGCCGCGUGGGUGAAGGAGCGUUUCGGCGCGUAAAGCCCUAUCGGAAGGGAAGAAGAUGAUGGUACCUGACCAAGAAGCCGCGUCUAACUACGUGCCAGCAGCCGCGGUAAUACGUAGGGGGCAAGGGGUAUCCGGAUUGACUGGGUGUAAAGGGGGGUGAGACGGGAGUGUAAGCCAGGAGUGGAAGCCCAGGGCUCAACCCCGGGACUGCUAUUGGAACUGCAUGACUUGAGUACAGGAGGGGCAGGCGGAAUUCCUAGUGUAGCGGUGGAAUGCGUAGAUAUUAGGAGGAACACCGGUGGCGAAGGCGGCCUGCUGGACUGUGACUGACGUUGAGGCCCGAAGGCGUGGGGAGCAAACAGGAUUAGAUACCCCAGUAGUC